rnacentral:lncRNA from 1 species
AGUAUAUAAAGUAUUUACCAAAAACUCAAUAUUUUUGUAGGGGUGCCCAUAGAUUUUGAGAAAAAUUCAAAAAAUAUGACAAUAUUGUUUUAAUGCCUAGUUGCAUCCGGCACUAACAUAUGAUGAUGUUCAAAGAGGUUUGGAGCCUUUGUCGUCUCCGUUUAUCAAGAAAAUAAUAAUUUUAUAGCGGUUAUUCCAUCGAUUUAGGGAGUAUUAUGAAGUUUUAUUAAAUUAUUUGAUAAAAACCAUUGAAAGAUGCUCAUUUACCAUGAAAAAGAGUUAAGCAUACAUUAAUACAAAUGUAGAAUAUGGAUAACCCCUACGAAAAUAUUGAGUUUUUGGUAAAUGUUUUAUAUACUGAAGCCUAUAAUCUUUAGAGUUGUUUUAAAAUUUCUAACCACAUUCUAAAUUUGUAUUAAUGUAUUUUAAGCUCUUUUCAUGGUAUAAUGGAAUCGUUAUAACUUUUUUUAUCAAAUACUUUAGUAAAACUUCAUAAUACUCCCUAAAUCGAUGGAAUAACCACUAUAAAAUAACUAUUUUGUUGAAAAACGGAGACAACAAAGGCUCCAAACCUCUUUGAACAUUAUCAUACGUUACUAGAGGAUGCAACUAUGCAUUAAAACAAAAUUGUCGU